rnacentral:rRNA from 1 species
AAAUUGAAGAGUUUGAUCAUGGCUCAGAUUGAACGCUGGCGGCAGGCCUAACACAUGCAAGUCGAACGGUAACAGGAAGCAGCUUGCUGUUUCGCUGACGAGUGGCGGACGGGUGAGUAAUGUCUGGGAAACUGCCUGAUGGAGGGGGAUAACUACUGGAAACGGUGGCUAAUACCGCAUAACGUCGCAAGACCAAAGAGGGGGACCUUCGGGCCUCUUGCCAUCAGAUGUGCCCAGAUGGGAUUAGCUUGUUGGUGAGGUAACGGCUCACCAAGGCGACGAUCCCUAGCUGGUCUGAGAGGAUGACCAGCCACACUGGAACUGAGACACGGUCCAGACUCCUACGGGAGGCAGCAGUGGGGAAUAUUGCACAAUGGGCGCAAGCCUGAUGCAGCCAUGCCGCGUGUAUGAAGAAGGCCUU